rnacentral:lncRNA from 1 species
CCUUUGUCUCCGCGGAGCGUCACAAAGGUUGGAAGGGUCGCGGGGCCUCUGGGUGCCGAGCUGCAGAUGCCUCCACUGCGAGCACAGCCCUGAGACAAGGGCCCAGGCGCCCAGCGGGGCUGGUUUCACUCAGUCCAGCCGCACCUACCCGUGCCCUCACCAGAUCUUAAGAUACAGACAUUAAAACCUCCACCGGGCCGCGGCACAGGACAGCAGUUUUACUUUCUGUUUUUGGCAUUGCAUUGCCUCCAUUUCCUAGAGUGCACGUAAUAAAUACCGCUGGUGAUUCCAAAAUAUAAAGGUUGAAAAUAUUUACUUUACAAAAAUUUGGUUCCCAUACUGCUUUUAAGGCCAUCCUCUGCACUUGGUUCCCGCUGCUCCUGAUGUGGUUGAAAGAUGGAUGACCCCAAAGACGAGGAAAAGAUUAUUGGCUCCAUUUUUUAGAUGCGGCAGCCAGCUAAGGUCUAGACAGGGGAAGGGACUUGCCCCAAAUCACAGUUAGAGCAAAUCAGUCUGAAUCAGGAAUAACUCCAUUCCUAUCCCGCAUCCUGCCCUUUCACUACGCCACAGCUGCCUGGCUGCCUGGAGGAACAAAGGAGGGCCGGGCAAGAACGCCAUUACCAACUGCAAAUCCACAGGCAAAUGCAAGAGGACAGAAAUCCCAAGAACCCAGCCCCUAAGCCUUCAGCUCUGUCCCAGGUCUGCCUCUCCUCCAGGCCCUCAGGACGCAGGCUCCAAGCCUUCGACUGCCCAGAUCCCCCAUUCCCUCCAAGACCCAGGAGUCCAGCCUUCUGGCCUCUCUCACCUCAGCUUCCAGCAGUUCUGGAACAGGCUCCUCCUUGGUCAGCAUUGGGGGUUCGUCGGUGCUGCCAGCAGUUAUGCCCCCGGGAUCUGGAACGUCAAGGCGCUGCGAAUACGAGUGGGUCUCCACCACCAGAAUGGCUAAAGUGAAAAAGACCGCACCGUGUGGAGGCGAGAAAGUAGAGCGACUGGACCUCUCUUGUAUUUCUGGGGGAGUGUAAAUUGGUAGAGACAUUUUGGAAAACUGGCAGUUUUCUAAUGAAGCCGAACAUAUGCCACCUCUGUGAUCCAGCAGUUCCACUCCUAGGCUGUCAACACCCAGCAGAAAUGUGUAGGUGUGAGCAUCAAGAGGGUGCAUGGGAAUGUUCAGAGCCCUUUCAUAACAGCCCCAAACUGGAAAUAACCCAUCAACAGAAUGGAAAAUGAAUGAUGCCCUACUCACUACCAUGCACAUAGACACAGCAACGGGAUUGACAUGCCCGGCUACACACAGCAACAUAGACAAGUCGCAUGAUGAAAUCUUGAGUGACAGAAGCCAAAUGCAACAGUACAUACUAGAUGGUUCCAGGUGUAUUACGUUCAGAACCAGACAAAACUAAUUUAUAGUGCACCAAAGUCAAGAUAGUGAUCGCCCUUAGGGUUGGGAGGGGACGAGGGGAGAGCUUCUGGGAGCUGAUCCAGUUCUGUUGUGUAAUCUGGUGCUGGUUCCCUGGGCAUAUGUAUUCUGUGAAAAUCCAUCACAUGACUUAAAUAAAAUGUACAUUACUUAAAUAAAAAAAAAAAAAAAAAAAAAAAAAAA